rnacentral:rRNA from 1 species
AAACUAAAUAUAACCAUGAGACCGAUAGUAAACAAGUACCGUGAGGGAAAGUUGAAAAGAACUCUGAAUAGAGAGUUAAAUAGUACGUGAAACUGCUUAGAGGUUAAGCCCGAUGAACCUGAAUAUCCAUUAUGGAAAAUUCAUCAUUAUGAUUUUAAUAUUUAUAAUAUUAUAAUAAUGGUGUGCAUUUUUUCUAUAAAGGACAUUGUAAUCUAUUAACAAAAAAAAUUUAUCAUAAGAUCAAUUAAUGCGUAAGUUUAUUCAAAUUAUUUUGCUUGCAUUUUAAUAUCGAAUAAAUGCUUUUGAUUUGAUAAAGUGUUGAUAGAUUUAUUAUAUAUAGUGCUUAAAUAUUAAAUUAUUUUAUAAUAGCAUAUUGAUCAUUGAUUUUUAUGUUUAUUAUAUGCACUUAUAUGAUUAACAAUGCGAAAGAUUCAGGAUACCUUCGGGACCCGUCUUGAAACACGGACCAAGGAGUCUAACAUAUUUGCAAGUUAUUGGGAAUAAAAACCUAAUAGCGUAAUUAACAUAACUAUAUAUAAUGGGAUUAGUUUUUAGCCUAUUUAUAGUCUAUUAAUUCAAUCCCGGGGCGUUCUAUACAGUUAUGUAUAAUAAUAUUUAUAUUAUUUAUACCUCUAACUAGAGCGUACCUUGAGCAUAUAUGUUGUGACCCGAAAGAUGGUGAACUAUACUUGAUCAGGUUGAAGUCAGGGGAAACCCUGAUGGAA